GCGGGGGUAGCCAAGCGGUCUAAGGCGGUCGCCUGCAGAGCGAUUAUUCGUGGGUUCAAAUCCCACCCCCCGCU
rnacentral:tRNA from 1 species